UCUGGUCAACAGUCAGAACAACAGGCUCAGCUGGUUCAGCAAGGAGCUAGUGUAAAAGGACUUACCAGCCAACUCCAGACCCUUAGCACCACUGAGCCAGAAGCUAUCAGCCCCUCUUGCUCCAUGGACUGGUACUUCAGAGGUCCCAGCCGCUGAUGCGUGGAUGCAGCAAAGUGAAAGGGUCUGAGAGGUGACACACCAAAGAUUUGAGGUCGUCCACCAGCGUCACAAGAAACAAGCUGAUCUUCAUCGAGGAUCUUUGGUUGAGGCUACUUCAGACAUCAUACCACCCCCUCUGAAGGAGAUAGAUGGAGCUCCCGUGUAUGCUGUACAUCAGUUGUUGGACUCCCAGGCGCAUGGAGGAGAG